rnacentral:sRNA from 1 species
ACUGCGCCCCGACUUGAGCGGAAAUCCUUUUUUUCCUGCAGGUUUGGCGUGGGCAAAAAAAGAUUGGGAGCGGAAGGCGGAAAUCGGC